GAGUAUUGCAGCUCCAGGUACUUCUCUUUUACUUCUCUAAUGCCGUAGAUCUCCUUGGAUAUCACAAUGUAUGCACUUUUCCCAUAUUCCAACUCUUCUUUCUGUAACUGUGUCUCACAGAGAUGAUGAAAUUGGAAAAACAAGGAAUAUAAGCACGAUCUUUUACUGAUAUUCAAUGGUUUUCCAUGGAAAAUAAACCUCAUAACCUUAUCCUUGUUUUUAAUAUCAUUACUUUCAUAGAGGAAGAAAGAG
rnacentral:misc_RNA from 1 species